GUAGGGAAUCUUGCGCAAUGGGCGAAAGCCUGACGCAGCCAUGCCGCGUGAAUGAUGAAGGUCUUAGGAUUGUAAAAUUCUUUCACCGGGGACGAUAAUGACGGUACCCGGAGAAGAAGCCCCGGCUAACUUCGUGCCAGCAGCCGCGGUAAUACGAAGGGGGCUAGCGUUGCUCGGAAUUACUGGGCGUAAAGGGAGCGUAGGCGGAUAGUUUAGUCAGAGGUGAAAGCCCAGGGCUCAACCUUGGAAUUGCCUUUGAUACUGGCUGUCUUGAGUUUGGGAGAGGUGAGUGGAACUCCGAGUGUAGAGGUGAAAGUCGUAGAUAUUCGGAAGAACACCAGUGGCGAAGGCGACUCACUGGCCCAAUACUGACGCUGAGGCGCGAAAGCGUGGGGAGCAAACAGGAUUAGAUACCCCAGUAGUCC
rnacentral:rRNA from 1 species